AACGAACGCUGGCGGCGUGCCUAACACAUGCAAGUCGUGCGAGAAAGUUCCUUCGGGAGCGAGUAAAGCGGCGCACGGGUGAGUAACACGUAGGUAACCUGCCCCCCAGUCUGGAACAACUAGAGGAAACUCUAGCUAAUGCCGGAUGAGACCACGAUCCCUUCGGGGGUUGCGGCCAAAGAUGGCCUCUACUUGUAAGCUAUCGCUGAGGGAUGGGCCUGCGGGCCAUUAGCUUGUUGGUGAGGUAACGGCUCACCAAGGCUGUGAUGGCUAGCUGGUCUGAGAGGAUGACCAGCCACACUGGGACUGAGACACGGCCCAGACUCCUACGGGAGGCAGCAGUGGGGAAUAGUUGCGCAAUGGGCGAAAGCCUGACGCAGCGACGCCGCGUGGGUGAUGGAAGGCCUGGUCGUAAG
rnacentral:rRNA from 1 species